CAAAGGGAGCAAUCCCGGCCACGGAUGGGCAUGCGGCGCAUUAGCUAGUCGGCGGGGUAACGGCCCACCGAGGCGACGAUGCGUAGGGGUUCUGAGAGGAAGGCCCCCCACACUGGUACUGAGACACGGACCAGACUCCUACGGGAGGCAGCAGUGAGGAAUAUUGGUCAAUGGGCGCGAGCCUGAACCAGCCAAGUCGCGUGAGGGAGGACGGCCCUACGGGUUGUAAACCUCUUUUGCCGGGGAGCAACGGGCGUCACGUGUGGCGCCACUGAGAGUACCCGGAGAAAAAGCAUCGGCUAACUCCGUGCCAGCAGCCGCGGUAAUACGGAGGAUGCGAGCGUUAUCCGGAUUUAUUGGGUUUAAAGGGUGCGUAGGCGGAUCGUUAAGUCAGUGGUCAAAUUGAGGGGCUCAACCCCUUCCCGCCAUUGAAACUGGCGAUCUUGAGUGGAAGAGAAGUAUGCGGAAUGCGUGGUGUAGCGGUGAAAUGCAUAGAUAUCACGCAGAACCCCGAUUGCGAAGGCAGCAUGCCGGCCUCCGACUGACGCUGAAGCACGAAAGCGUGGGGAUCGAACAGGAUUAGAUACCCUGGUAGUCCACGCGGUAAACGAUGAGCGCUAGGUGUCCGGGGGGAAUGGCCCCUGG
rnacentral:rRNA from 1 species